rnacentral:ncRNA from 1 species
GCAGGGGUGCUGUGCUAUGGUGCACGGCUGAGACGGCAGACGCUGAACCCUUUAAACCUGAUUCGGACAAUACCGGCGUAGGGAGAUUUUGU